rnacentral:rRNA from 1 species
ACGCACGCUGGCGGUGUGCUUCACACAUGCAAGUCGAACGGUAAGGCCCUUUCGGGGGUACACGAGUGGCGAACGGGUGAGUAACACGUGAGUAACCUGCCCUCAUCUCUGGGAUAACAGUCGGAAACGGUUGCUAAUACUGGAUAUGAGCUUGCAAGGCAUCUUGUGGGUUGGAAAGAUUUUUUUUGGUUGGGGAUGGACUCGCGGCCUAUCAGCUUGUUGGUGAGGUAGUGGCUCACCAAGGCUUCGACGGGUAGCCGGCCUGAGAGGGCGACCGGCCACAUUGGGACUGAGAUACGGCCCAAACUCCUACGGGAGGCAGCAGUGGGGAAUAUUGCACAAUGGACGGAAGUCUGAUGCAGCAACGCCGCGUGCGGGAUGACGGCCUUCGGGUUGUAAACCGCUUUCAAUUGUGACGAAGCUUUUUUGUGACGGUAGCAGUAGAAGAAGCACCGGCUAACUACGUG